rnacentral:rRNA from 1 species
CAGCAGCCGCGGUAAUACGUAGGUGGCGAGCGUUGUCCGGAAUCAUUGGGCGUAAAGGGGGCGCAGGCGGGCAUGUAAGUCUUUCUUAAAAGUUCGGGGCUCAACCCCGUGAUGGGAAAGAAACUACAUGUCUUGAGUACAGGAGAGGAAAGCGGAAUUCCCAGUGUAGCGGUGAAAUGCGUAGAUAUUGGAAAGAACACCAACGGCGAAAGCACUCUGCUGGGCCGACACUAACACUGAGAGACGAAAGCUAGGGGAGCAAAUGGGAUUAGAUACCCGUGUAGUCCCUGUCUCUUAUACA